GGGGGUUUAGCUCAGCGGUAGAGCACUUGCCUAGCAAGCGCAAGGCCCUGGGUUCAAUCCCCAGCUCCG
rnacentral:tRNA from 1 species